CUGACCUGCAGGCUGUCUCUCUGCCCGCGCCUGCCGGAGCAACCAGCGGUGCGGGGUGCGGGUCCCCGCUGCUCCUCAGCCGGAGCACAGGAGGGCACCGGCUCACGCUCAGGGCUCUGCACAAGUUUCGAAACAGUUCAACGUGAUAAAAUUGGCACUUUUGACUUUCAUAGUGAGGAAGUUUCAUCCUGGGCUAAAGAAAUAUAUUAGUAGUGAGCACAGGGAAACCUUCCUGGUGUGUUCUGGACAGUGUUCUGGCACUACCUUUGUCUUCCUUGGAUUCUCAGAGCUUACAACUAGAUUUCCUGGCAAAUGAAAUAUUUUAGCCUAACAAAUUUAAAAACAUGAAACUAGUCCAUGUGUUGUA